rnacentral:lncRNA from 1 species
UUUUUUUUGGAGACGGAGACGGAGUUCGCUUUUUCGCCCAGGCUGGAGUGAAGUGGUGCGAUCUCGGCUCACUGCAAACUCCACCACCAGGGUUUAAGCGAUUCUCCUGCCUCAGCCACCAUGAUUUAACACUGAGAAGUGGGCAGUCACAGAGAAAAAGUUUAGAAUAGUUCACCAGUGAAGUCAUCUCAACCAGCACAGGGCCUUGACUCCUAACAACAAUCACACGAACUUGGAAGAGGAGCCUUCCCCAACUGAACCUUCGCUUGAGACCUCGUCCUUGGCCAUCCUCUACAUCUGGAUUCAUGAUACAGAGAAACUUGAGUAAUGAUGACACUAGCAGUCCAGCCUGCAUGGAUGCUGACAUGGAUGCUGUCUCCCAUUCUUACCACUGGAUGGGAAGAAAUGCUAGAUGCAAUCCAGCCAGUCUGUACUCGACUGUCAGUUCCAUCUUCUCAACUCACAGUGUCUUCCAAAGUCCGUGCCACACCACAGCCUGGAACAUCUCCCAAGGUUUCAAAUAAUUCAUCAGUGAAUUCUUCUCAACCUGGUCAAUCAUGUGAACUUAGAAGAUGAUUCCUCCCCAGCUGAUCCUCAGGUGAGACAUCAGCCUUGGCCAUCAUCUACAUCUGGAUUCCUGACCCAGAGAAACUGGAACACUAAGACCCAUUCUUCUUCUCAAGUAUCCAAAAAUAAAGUUGAUCCAAGUAAGAAGUGGACAGCAUAAAAGAUUGUAUGGAAGCUAUAAUGCAUCUACAUCUGCAGUAACUAAUCAUAAAAUGAUUUGUAUGAUCAUUCUUCACAUGAUUAGAAUUACUAUGGGAAAGAAGAAAAAGAAAUGCCUCUCUGGAUGGUGACUAUAACCUAUAGCCUUGCCCAAUAUGACUCAGGAUUUGGUACUGGCUGUGCCUUUCAUGGGAUGCUUACUUAUCCUGGUCGAUGGCCUAAAGCCCAACCGUCCAGCUUAUAUCCAGGGAUAAACUCAGCCUGCGGGGCCUCAGGAAGAAGGUCGUAGCCAUUUCAUUGAGUCCAGGGCAGAAAAGUGGAAGAAAAAUGUGAAUGUGUUAAUUUGAGGACUUUAGCUCUGAGAGGUUUCAGGAUUCAGUCCAAAAUGCAGAAAACAAUAAAAAGCUCAAAAACAAUGGACAAGACUAGAAUCUAACAACAGGGUCUCAAGCCACCCAGGCUGGAGUGCAGUGGCACAAUUAUGGCUCACUGUAGCCUCACCUUCCUGGGAUCAAGCAAUCUUCUUUCUUCAGCCUCCAGAGGAGCUGGGACCACAGAUCCUUUGGCAUUUGAGAGUUGCUUUGUGUAUACGGUCCUUUAACGGAGCAAAUGGCCAGCCAGGAAACCAAAGUAUGGACAAGGGGAAAGAAGCGUCUGUGGAGGAAGUUUUACAAGCGCCCUCCUCAUCCAUUUGGGUGGUGUUGCCCAUAUGCUACAUGUCUGUGGACCACUAUGUGUGUUUAAAGCUUUUUAGUAAAACGUUACUAAAAACUAUGACUCACUGUGGUGAAAAAGGUGGCAAAACAGUGACAACACAACACGGAGAUGCAUUGACACCCUUCUUCAAUCCAGAGGAUGGGCCAUCAACUCACAAAAGUACAAGGCCUGGAACCAGCUGCAAAGUUCCUAUGGAUCACUUGGCCAGAAGCAAUCUCAGCUGGGCACAGUAGCUCACACCUGUAAUCCCAGCACUUUGGGAGACCGUGGCAGGCAGAUCACUUGAGGCCAGGAGUUCAAGACCAGCAUGG